rnacentral:rRNA from 1 species
AGUUCGAUUAUGGCUCAGAUUGAACGCUGGCGGGAUGCUGCGAGAAGCUACACAUGCAAGUCAGACAGCGGCACGGACGAUUCUGGUGGCGGUGAACGGGUGAGUAAUCUCCGGAACGUACCUAGUAGCGGGGGAUAACUACGCGAAAGCGUAAUAAUACCGCAUACGCCCUUCAAAGGGAAGCGGGGGACCUUCGGGCCUCGCACUAUUAGAGCAGCCGAUAUCGGAUUAGCUAGUUGGUGGGGUAACGGCUCACCAAGGCGACGAUCCGUAGCUGGUUUGAGAGGACGACCAGCCACACUGGGACUGAGACACGGCCCAGACUCCUACGGGAGGCAGCAGUGGGGAAUUUUGGACAAUGGAAACCUGAUCCAGCCAUCCCGCGUGUACGAUGAAGGCCUUCGGGUUGUAAAGCACUUUUGGCAGGAAAAACGGCACGGGAUACCCGUGCAACUGACGACACCUGCAGAAUAAGCACCUGACUAACGUGCCAGCAGCCGAAUAAUACGUAGGGUGCAAGGAAGCGUUAAUCAGAUUACUGGGCGUAAAAGCGUGCGCGAGGCGGUUCCGGAAAGAAAGAUGUGAAAUCCCAGAGCUUAACUUUGGAACUGCAUUUUUAACUACCGGGCUAGAGUGCGUGUCAGAGGGAGGUGGAACCGCGUGUAGCAGUGAAAUGCGUAGAUAUGCGGAGGAACACCAAAUGGCGAAACAGCAUCACUGGGAUAACACUGACGCUCGUACGCGAAAAGCGUGGGGAGCAAACAGGAUUAGAUGCCGCAGGCGGUCACACGCCCUAAACGAUGUCAACUAGCUGUUGGGGCCUUCGGGCCUUGGUAGCGCAGCUAACGCGUGAAGUUGACCGCCUGGGGAGUACGGUCGCAAGAUUAAGAGAACUCAAAGAGAUUGACGGGGACCCGCACAAGCGGUGGAUGAUGUGGAUUAAUUCGAUGCAACGCGAAAACCUUUACCUACCUUAGCAGGCAUGUCUGGAAUCCCGAGAGAGAUUUGGGAGUGCUCGCAAGAGAACCGGAACACAGGUGCUGCAUGGCUGUCGUCAAAGCUCUGUGUCGUGAGAUGUUGGGUUAAGUCCUGACAGGCGCAACCGCCGUCAUUAGUUGCUGCUGAAAGGGCACUCUAAUGAGACUGCCGGUGACAAACCGGAGGAAGGUGGGGAUGACGUCAAGCCUCAUGGCCCUUAUGGUGAGGGCUUCACGUCGCUGCAAAUGGUCAGGACAGAGGGUAACCAACCCGCGAGGAGCCAAUCAGAAACCCGAUCGUAGUCCGGAUCGCAGUCUGCAACUCGACUGCGUGAAGUCGAAAUCGCUAGUAAUCGUGGAUCAGAAUGCCGCGGUGAAUGCAGUUCCCGGGCCUUACGUACACACCGCCCGUCACACCAUGGGAGUUGGUUUUACCCAGGAAGGUACUGUGCUAACCGCAAGAGUGCAGGCAACCACCGGCGGUAGGGUCAGCGACUGGGAAUUAUCGUAACAAAGGUAG